AGUCGUAACAAGGUUUCCGUAGGUGAACCUGCGGAAGGAUCAUUAAUGAUUAACUGUCUGUCGAGCUUGCUCACAGACUUAUCAUAUCCAUAACACCUGUGCACUUGUCGGAUGGCUUAGUGAAGACCGCAAGGUUGGAUCUAUCCAUCUACUUUACAUAACAAUUUAGUAACAAAUGUAGUCUUAUUAUAACAUAAUAAAACUUUCAACAACGGAUCUCUUGGCUCUCGCAUCGAUGAAGAACGCAGCGAAAUGCGAUAAGUAAUGUGAAUUGCAGAAUUCAGUGAAUCAUCGAAUCUUUGAACGCACCUUGCGCUCCCUGGUAUUCCGGGGAGCAUGCCUGUUUGAGUGUCAUGAAAACCCUCAACCUUAGAUUGGUUAACACCUUUCUUUGGCUUGGAUUUGGACGUUUGCCGAUGAUAAGUCGGCUCGUCUUAAAAGUAAUAGCUGGAUCUGUCUCGCGACAUGGUUUGACUUGGCGUAAUAAGUAUUUCGCUAAGGACAUCUUCGGAUGGCCGCGUUGCAAGACUAAAGACCGCUUUCUAAUCCAUUGAUCUUCGGAUUAAUAUUCUUGACAUCUGGCCUCAAAUCAGGUAGGACUACCCGCUGAACUUAAGCAUAUCAAUAAGCGGAGGAA
rnacentral:misc_RNA from 1 species